GAAAUACAGGAGAAAUCGAUUUUGAGGUGGAAAUAAUGAGCCCAAUUUUGGAUUUAUCGAAUUUUAAAUGCAGUACCCACACAUCUUCUCUUUUUUCAAAAAAGGUCAGUGCUGUGGAUAUUUGCUGCCUUAGUCAUUUUACCAUAGUUUAAUUCUGUGCCUUCAAUGGGCACUUCUAAGCUGUGAAAAAAUCUACGUGAGAUGUUAGCUGGCCCCAGGUGGGCCCUUCUGAACUCUGUAUUUGCUUCCUAUCAAACACUCGGAGUUGGGACGGCGCGCAUAUGUCUGAGGCAAAUGUCAAGUCAAUGGGGAUCAGACAUCUAAGAAACAAGUCAUCCUUAUGUCAUUUACGGCAAGGAGUUGGAAAAUGGAAGGCGCUUAAGCUGUUUUUCCCUAAAGGAAGAGGGCUGUAAUAAUUAAGAGGUUUGAAAUAUCUCUAUCGCAAAACGCUCACAGUUCAAAAACAAUGAGUCGCCGAGGAUUUCCCCGAGGAACGGUUUCUGCUCUCCACGAACACUGGGAAUUUGUUCCCGCCUUCCUGGUCGCUGCCCGGACCGAGGCAGCUGGCCGCCCGGUCUCAGUCCCGAGCGUUGGGCGUGCUCGGCAGUCCCUUCAUUUCCCGUUACUUAGCAACGUCAGCGUUAACCUCCGCCGGGUAAGCGGAGACAAUGCCCCGGGAAUUUUCACAGGUAUUAAGCAUUUCGCCCCUCACGGCCCUCCUUGGGGGGAAUCCUUUUAUUCUUGGAGAUGGAAGGGAACCGGCCGCGCCCAGCCUGGCUUGUCCCUGGAGCCAACCCCCAGGCAAGGAGGAGGACUCCGGAGGCUCCUGCUCCUGACUCCAGAGGGGACCGCGGUCCGGGACCCCCUCCACUCCCCGACCUCCCCUCCCCCAGCCCCCGGGCGACGCGCGCUUCUGGAGGGGCGCUGGGCUGGGCGGGGACGCGUCACCGGGCGGGGUCGCGGGGCCGAGCGGGGAGCGCGCGGAGCUGGGCGCGGGGGCGGGGGCAGGGGGCGCAGGGCGGGCGCGGAGCUCUGGCGCGGGAGCCCCGGUGACGCACCAGUGACGUCGGCGGCGGCGGGCGGGAUUUCCCGGCCCCUCCCGGGCGCCAGACUAGACCCUGGUGCGGAGUGGGCGCGACCAACGUGGGCGGGAGGAAGCGGGGCCGGGGGGCGCGCGCUCGGCGCCCUCAGGGCAUGGACGUCCUCCUGCAGCCCGGCACGGGGGGCUGAGCGGGCAGAGUACUUGGCGUCCGCUGACUCCGCUCUCAAACUGGGCACCGGCUCGGCCACCUGCGCCCCCUCGGCCUCGCGUCGUCUGUCCUCUGCCCGGGCGGGGAGGCGCGGGGCGGGGCGGGGCUGGUGACGCGGCCCGGAGACCCCGGGGCGGCGCGGGGCGCGAGGCGCGCGUUUGCACCGCGAACCCAUCAGCGGCGAGGCGCGCGGGAGCUGGGGCGCUGAGCCGGAGCCCCCCCGCCCGCCAGCCCCGCGCCCGGAUGAGGAGCGAUGCCGCUCGGUCUGGCCGCCCCCCGCGUGCGCCGCGCCGGAGACAAAGCCCGCGCCUGAGCGGCUCCCUCGGCCCGCGUCCCCGCGCCGAGUUCUGCCGAUCCUCACCGUGACCAGUCUUCCUGGGGUGUCAGCCUUUCUCCAGUUUUCCCAUGCAUUACUGCUGCCAACCAAGUUCAUCGUCAGCGCUGGAUGCCGUGGAAGGACUGUUUCAAUGAUGUAUUUUGCCGAAAGCAUUGAUGCGUUCCUAAGAGACUGUGACCCUCGAGGCAGGAGCCCUGCAUCGGCCUCUCCUCUGAAGACUGUCGACUGCUGCUGCCGCCAGCCUGUCCCCUGCCCAGGCCUGUCCCUGUGCUGCCUCUUAGCAGCUCGUGGAGAUGUCACGUUAGGGAGGAUGGCAGAAAACGCACGAUGAUAUCCACUCGUCCAGAAAUUCUAACCUCUGUCUGCUGAGUCAAAUCAGAUCAGCAACCCUGGGGAUUGAACCACCUGGCGCUGCCCCACCCCCAGCUCUGAGCUGAGUUACGCACCACAAGAUGCAGCCCAUCAGAACCUCCCUCUGAAGCCUGUCUGUGUGUGAGUGCAUUCCUGUAUGCUCGAGGAGAAAGCUGUCUGACCAUGGCGGUGACAGAGCCCGUCCCCUGAGCAGUGGGGCAGCAGAAUGAAAGAGGGCAUGUCCAACAACAGCACCACUAGCAUCUCCCAAGCCAGGAAGGCUGUGGAGCAGCUGAAGAUGGAAGCCUGUAUGGACAGAGUGAAGGUCUCCCAGGCCGCUGCCGACCUCCUGGCGUACUGUGAAGCCCACGUGCGGGAAGACCCCCUCGUCACCCCAGUGCCUGCGUCAGAAAACCCCUUCCGAGAGAAGAAGUUCUUCUGCACCAUUCUCUGACUGUCGGUUAUGAAAAUAUCUCCUUCUCUGUCAGUAAAACCCCUGGUGGAGACCGUGCAUGCUCUUAGCUUUAGGGAGCUCCACCCACACCCAUCCCUGCCCAACCAGGAUCGCUGGGGCCUGUCUCGUCUUCUCAUUGGUUUUCUUCAUUGCAUUCAAUUUCACUUUUCUUUUUGUUUUCAUAGUAUUUUCUUUAUUGGCAAAGCAAAUAGACAUUUUUGUAGCCAAAUAACAAAUGUGCCAAGGAAAGAUAAAUAUGGAUUUAAGCGUUUAAAUUUUUUAAACAUCAAUUCCCAAGUUUAAAUAUAUCAACUUAAUAUAUGUCAGUGGAUAUUUGUUGAAAAGAAAAACUGUACUCAACAACCCCCAUUCACAGUAAUUCAGUACCAAAUUAGAGCAUUUUGACCAACUGAAAUAUAUGGGUAAAUUUCCACCUCCAUGCCUAGAUAAGCAGUUCUGAAAGUUCAUAUUUCCUGCUUUUCCAUCUUCCUACUAGAAAGAAAAGAAACCACAGCAUUGAUGGUUUUCUUAGUGUGUAUCUUCCUGCGGCCAUGUGGCCCAGACCCCACCAAGGGCCCCGGCCUCUGUUUCCCACUGAUUGUCGCUGACCACCUUGGAGGUGGUCCUCCUACAAGUGUAGAUGCUGGGCGGAUACUGAAGCAGGCUUAACUGUAAAUGUACACCGUGACAGCCAUCUGUUUACGUGCUCCAGCUGGCCCGGCCAAGGGUGCCAUCGUCCCUCUCCAUACGCCACCUCUUCCUGCUCCCUCCUAUUCUGGCUCCUCCUCAGUAGUUCUAACAUGGGUUGUGUCAAUAAGGACCCAUUCUGGGCAAAGCACUAGGCCCCGUGGGCUUUCACAGGGUGGCCCCUGUCCCAGAGGAGUGAGGCAUUGGGGCAGCAGCCCACUAGGUGCCAUCUACUGAUCUGAGCAUUGCCACGUAUUCACUUAUUUAAUCCUCCAACAAUAAAUAAAUGCCACGAGAGUACAUCUGUUUUAAAGAGAGGGAAACUGAGGCACAGAAAGGUCCUGUCGUUUCCCCAAAGUUAUAGAUGGUAAGCGGGAAAACGGGGGCUCAGUAGAGGUGGUCUGGCCCAGAGCCCUCCCUGAACCUGUGAGCUACGCUGCCUUCCAGGUCUCCCUGGGUGCAGGUGGGUAGACCCCCAAACGACCUGAACCUCCUGCUGCAAAGCACUGGCCCUGUGGUCCACUGGGCAGCUCGUGUCCCAUCUUCUCCGGGAGGAGGCCUGUUGGUCCGUAUUCUGGCAGCUUAUGGAAGAUGAUCCGUGGAUGCCCCAGUGGAAGGUUAGACAGCUCUUGGUUUUUCUGAGAGAAACUCGCAGGCGCCACCUUAAACAAACUCAGACCACCCCCGAUGAAAGAACAGAAUAAACCAUGGGGGCAGAGAGCUCUUUGUCUAAGUUUGUUCUGCUCCGUUUGUUUGGAAACCCUGUCUCUGGCUCUGACAGCGGCUUGCUGUGUGAUAGAGGGCAAGCCAUUGUGAGCCUGAGAUGCUCUAACCUGCACAUCGGGGAUAAUGGUAAUUCCUCCUCCCGCCUUUCUGUCUAGAGGAUAUCGAGAGGUGCUGCACAGAUGAAAGCUCUGAUUAUCAUUUAAAACAAAUAAAAUGUACUAAAUGCCAAGAUAUAACAUAGGGAAGAAGGCAUGACUUCAAAGUUACCACUGUUCAGUUGGAGGAAUAAUCUGCAAAGAGCCAAAUAUAAUUUCAGAUCAGUUAAUGACUUGCUACCCUUGUAAAUGGUUUUAGUACAUUCUUAUUCUUUGUUUCUUUUGUUGAAACCCAUUUUUAGUUGCAUUAAAGCUCACUGAUAAUAUCAGUGUUGUUAGGAAGCUGUGUGCUCAAACUAUAGGAGAACUGUAUGCUGUACGUGAUAAUACGAUUUCAAAUCCUUCUCUAUUUUGGUUUAUGACCAGCGUCUCUUUAUUCUGUGGUCCAUGUCAACAUCAUUAACCUGAUAAAGCAAAGCACAAUUCAUAAAAGCACAUCAGAGACGCGGAGAAAGUGGGACAGCAUGGAAACGGGCUAUAAAUCAGGUCAAGAAAAAAAUGUUCUUCUAGUCUUCCGCCAGACUUUCUCCCCUGUGUUUUUACUUCUACUGUCCCUCCAUAUUCUGCCUCCCCUUUUUUUCCUCUUUUUCUUUUUCUUCCUCUCUUCCUUACUUUGCUCUGUGAGAUGCUUGUCUUUUACUGUACCUUUUCCUUCCAAACCUAUGGCAUUUCUUAUGGCUUGCCUCUUCUGAAGUGUCCCUGAGCUCAGAGCAGUCUUCUUAAAGACCAGUUUGAGUACAUGGGCUAUGAGAUGCGCCAACGUGUGAAUGAGCCCCGUCCCCCUUCUAGCAAUCAUUGGGAGGUGAAUGAAAUGGAGUGAUCUUGUAGUGGACACUUGUCAUUUUGUGUCUCCAGUUUGGCUAUCCAGCAUCUGACCCCUCUUCCUCUAGGGGGAAAUCACCCCUUACAUAUAAAUUCAGUGGGAUGCAGUAACCCCUUCCACUGUGGAUGCUGAAGUGGGGAGGUCUUCCCUGUCUCUCAGGUGCACCCCCCCUUUCCAGCACCAACCAGCCAGGGAGUGGCCAGUGACCCUGGGUGAACUACUUGGACUCCCCUGCUUGGGAGUGUGAGCUUGGAGCAAGUGACGCAGAAAUGAAGGGAUGCUGAGGUUCAUUUCAUGGGAGCUGCAGUGGUCCAGGGAUGGCAGCGGCCCAGCGGGGGGGGGGGGGGGGGGGUGGGGGUGUCUAGGACUGGUAGGCUGCAGGGAUGGCAUGUCCACUGGUAACAAUGUCCAGGGAUGGCAGUGUCCUGAGAAGACCAUUCCUUGGCCCUACUGAGCUGUCUCAUCCCCGCCCAUCUUUUUAGGUCUUCUUUCUAGCUUUUUCUCAACUCUUUGAGCCUCCAAGCUCCAUCCAAUGAACUCCUUAUUCUUCAAUGAAAUAGCCUGGGUUGAAUGUACUCCAUUCCUAGAUGUAUACCCAACAGAAAUGUGUACAUAUAUUCACCAAAAGAAAUGUGCUAGAAUGUUCAUAGAAGCAUUAAUCAUAAUAACCCAAAACUGGAAACCACCCAAAUGCCCAAAAUGAAUGGAUAAUCAAAUUGUGGUAUAGUCACACUGUGAAAUCCUAUACAGCAAUGAGCACGAAUGAUCCACAGCAUGGGGUGAGACCCGCGAGAUGGGCAAGUACAUACUAUAUGAUUCUGUUUCUAUCAAGUUCGAAACCUGGCUAAGCUAACCUCUGCUGUUGCAAGUAAGAUAUCAGUUACUCUUGAGGGGAUGGUAAGCAGAAGGGGCACAAAGGGAGUUUCUAGGAUGUUCUGUUUCUUGACCUGGUUGCUGGUUAUCUGCGUGUAUUCAGUUUGUGAAAAUUCUUCGAGCUGUUAACUUUCGAUUUGUGCACUUUUCUGUAUGUACGUUGUACUUCAAUAAAGUUGGGUUUUGUGGCUAGCAA
rnacentral:lncRNA from 1 species